GAUGAACGCUAGCGGCAGGCUUAAUACAUGCAAGUCGAGGGGCAGCACAGGGUAGCAAUACCUGGGUGGCGACCGGCAAACGGGUGCGGAACACGUACAGAACCUUCCUUCGAGCGGGGAAUAGCCCAGAGAAAUUUGGAUUAAUACCCCAUAGCAUAAUGGAGUGGCAUCACUUUGUUAUUAAAGAUUUAUCACUUGAAGAUGGCUGUGCGUAUGAUUAGGUAGUUGGCGGGGUAACGGCCCACCAAGCCUACGAUCAUUAACUGGUGUGAGAGCACGACCAGUCACACGGGCACUGAGACACGGGCCCGACUCCUACGGGAGGCAGCAGUAAGGAAUAUUGGUCAAUGGACGCAAGUCUGAACCAGCCAUGCCGCGUGGAGGAUGAAGGUCCUCUGGAUUGUAAACUUCUUUUAUCUGGGACGAAAAAAGGGAAUUCCUUCUCGUCUGACGGUACCAGAUGAAUAAGCACCGGCUAACUCCGUGCCAGCCGCCGCCGUAA
rnacentral:rRNA from 1 species